UGUUUAUCCUGCAGGAGGUUGCUGCUAUCGGAAUUCGGUUCAGACAUGCAAGUCUGCUUGCCGUCGCAAGACGGUUGGCGGCAAACUGCUCAGUAACACGUCGAUAACCUACCUUAUGGCCCGGAAUAACCUUGGGAAACUAAGGGUAAAACCGGAUAAGGGAAAGAUACUGGAACGUUCUCUCCCUCAAAGGAAACACCAUAAGAUGGGUCGGCGGCCUAUCAGGUAGUUGGUGGGGUAAAGGCCCACCAAGCCAAAGACGGGUAGGGGCCUUGAGAGAGGUUGCCCCGAGAAGGACACUGAGAUACUGGUCCUAGCCCCACGGGGUGCAGCAGUUACGAAAACUUCACAAUGCGCGGAAGCGUGAUGAGGGGAUUCCGAGUGUCGACACUUUAUGUGUCGACUUUUCUUUAGAGUAAAAAUCUAAGGGAAUAAGUGGUGGGCAAGACUGGUGCCAGCCGCCGCGGUAACCCCAGCGCCACAAGUGGGAACCACGUUUAUUGGGUCUAAAGCAUCCGUAGUCGGCUUUGUAAAUGUCCUGUGAAAUCGUUACGCUCAACGUAACGGCGUGCAGGACACACUGCAUUGCUAGAGACCAGGAAGGGUAGGGAGUAUUCCCGGGGGAGCGGUAAAAUGUUAUAAUCCCGGGAGGACUACUAAUGGCGAAGGCACCCUACUAGAAUGGAUCUGACGAUCAGGGAUGAAAGCUAGGGGAGCGAUCCGGAUUAGAUACCCGAGUAGUCCUAGCCGUAAACGCUGCAUGCCAGAUGUUGCACAAUCUUCGGGAUUGUGCAGUGUCGAAACGAAGGUGUUAAGCAUGCCACCUGGGAAGUACGGUCGCAAGGCUGAGACUUAAAGGAAUUGGCGGGGGAGCACUACAAGGGGUGCGGCGUGCGGUUUAAUCGAAUUCAACGCCGAGAACCUCACCAGGGGCGCCGGCAGAAUGAAGGUCAGUCUAAAGGGCUUACCUGACGAGCCGAGAGGUAUUGCAUGGCCGGCGUCAGCUCGUGCCGUGAGGUGUCCUGUUAAGUCAGGCAACGAGCGAGACCUGCGUCUAUACUUGCUAACGGCGUCUUCGGACGGACUGAGCACAUUAUAGAGACUGCCUUCGAAAGAAGGAGGAAGGUGCAGGCUACGCUAGGUCUGUAUGGUCCGAAUCUCCUGGGCUACACGCGCGCAACAAUGGUAGGGACAAUGGGAUGCAACUCCGAAAGGAGAAGCCAAACCUCUAAACCCUAUCUUAGUUCGAAUUGAGGGUUGCAACUCACCCUCAUGAAGUCGGAAUCCCUAGUAAUCAGACGUUAGCAUCGUCCGGUGAAUAUGUCCCUGCUCCUUGCACACACCGCCCGUCAAAUCAACCGAGCAGGCUUUCAGUGAGACGUAUCCUUUUAGAUAUGCCGAACUGAGGGUCAGUGAGGUGGGUUAAGUCGUCACAAGGUA
rnacentral:rRNA from 1 species